rnacentral:rRNA from 1 species
GCGGCGAACGGGUGAGUACACGUGGGUGAUCUGCCCUGCACUUCGGGAUAAGCCUGGGAAACUGGGUCUAAUACCGGAUAUGACCUCCUAUCGCAUGGUGGGUGGUGGAAAGAUUUAUCGGUGCAGGANNNGCCCGCGGCCUAUCAGCUUGUUGGUGGGGCAAUGGCCUACCAAGGCGACGACGGGUAGCCGACCUGAGAGGGUGACCGGCCACACUGGGACUGAGACACGGCCCAGACUCCUACGGGAGGCAGCAGUGGGGAAUAUUGCACAAUGGGCGAAAGCCUGAUGCAGCGACGCCGCGUGAGGGAUGACGGCCUUCGGGUUGUAAACCUCUUUCAGCAGGGACGAAGCGCAAGUGACGGUACCUGCAGAAGAAGCACCGGCUAACUACGUGCCAGCAGCCGCGGUAAUACGUAGGGUGCAAGCGUUGUCCGGAAUUACUGGGCGUAAAGAGUUCGUAGGCGGUUUGUCGCGUCGUUUGUGAAAACCAGCAGCUCAACUGCUGGCUUGCAGGCGAUACGGGCAGACUUGAGUACUGCAGGGGAGACUGGAAUUCCUGGUGUAGCGGUGAAAUGCGC